CCUACGGGGGGCAGCAGUGGGGAAUAUUGGACAAUGGGGGCAACCCUGAUCCAGCCAUGCCGCGUGUGUGAAGAAGGCCCUCGGGUUGUAAAGCACUUUCAGUGAGGAAGAACGCCUGGUGGUUAAUACCCAUCAGGAAAGACAUCACUCACAGAAGAAGCACCGGCUAACUCCGUGCCAGCAGCCGCGGUAAUACGGAGGGUGCGAGCGUUAAUCGGAAUUACUGGGCGUAAAGCACGCGUAGGUGGCUUGAUAAGCCGGUUGUGAAAGCCCCGGGCUCAACCUGGGAACGGCAUCCGGAACUGUCAAGCUAGAGUGCAGGAGAGGAAGGUAGAAUUCCCGGUGUAGCGGUGAAAUGCGUAGAGAUCGGGAGGAAUACCAGUGGCGAAGGCGGCCUUCUGGACUGACACUGACACUGAGGUGCGAAAGCGUGGGUAGCAAACAGGAUUAGAUACCCGUGUAGUC
rnacentral:rRNA from 1 species